AUUGAACGCUGGCGGCAGGCCUAACACAUGCAAGUCGAACGAGUUGCGGAGGGGAGAGUAAUGUCUGGGAACCUGCCUGAUUUAGGGGAAUAACUUCUGGAAACGGUAGCUAAUACCGCAUACCAUCAGAUGUGCCCAGAGGGGAUUAGCUAGUUGGUGGGGUAACGGGUCACAAAGGCGACGAUCCCUAGCUGGUCUUAGAGGAUGACCAGGACCACUGGAACGGAGACACGGUCCAGACUCCUACGAGAGGUAGCAGUGGGGAAUAUGGCACAAUGGGCGCAAGCCGGAUGCAGCCAUGCCGCGGGUAUGGAGAAGGCCUUCGGGUUGUAAAGUACUUGCAGCGGGGAGGCGUUACCCGGAGAAGAAGCACCGGCUAACUCCGUGCCAGCAGCCGCGGUAAUAC
rnacentral:rRNA from 1 species